AGAGCGAACGCUGGCGGCAGGCUUAACACAUGCAAGUCGAGCGGGCGUAGCAAUACGUCAGCGGCAGACGGGUGAGUAACGCGUGGGAACAUACCUUUUGGUUCGGAACAACACAGGGAAACUUGUGCUAAUACCGGAUAAGCCCUUACGGGGAAAGAUUUAUCGCCGAAAGAUUGGCCCGCGUCUGAUUAGCUAGUUGGUGAGGUAACGGCUCACCAAGGCGACGAUCAGUAGCUGGUCUGAGAGGGCGACCGGCCACACUGGGACUGAGACACGGCCCAGACUCCUACGGGAGGCAGCAGUGGGGAAUAUUGGACAAUGGGCGCAAGCCUGAUCCAGCCAUGCCGCGUGAGUGAUGAAGGCCCUAGGGUUGUAAAGCUCUUUUGUGCGGGAAGAUAAUGACGGUACCGCAAGAAUAAGCCCCGGCUAACUUCGCGCCAGCAGCCGC
rnacentral:rRNA from 1 species